UACGGGGGGGGCAAGCGUUGUUCGGAAUUACUGGGCGUAAAGGGCUGGUAGGCGGCCAACUAAGUCGGGUGUGAAAUCCCCAGGCUUAACCUGGGAACUGCAUCCGAUACUGGUCGGCUUGAAUCCGGGAGAGGGAUGCAGAAUUCCAGGUGUAGCGGUGAAAUGCGUAGAUAUCUGGAGGAAUACCGGUGGCGAAGGCGGCAUCCUGGACCGGCAUUGACGCUGAACAGCGAAAGCUAGGGGAGCAAACGGG
rnacentral:rRNA from 1 species